UAGCUAGUUGGUGGGGUAAGGGCCUACCAAGGCGACGAUCGGUAGCUGGUCUGAGAGGAUGACCAGCCACACUGGAACUGAGACACGGUCCAGACUCCUACGGGAGGCAGCAGUGGGGAAUAUUGGACAAUGGGGGCAACCCUGAUCCAGCAAUGCCGCGUGUGUGAAGAAGGCCUGAGGGUUGUAAAGCAUUUUCAGUGGGGAGGAGGGUUGAUAGGUUAAGAGCUAAUUAACUGGACGUUACCCACAGAAGAAGCACCGGCUAACUCCGUGCCAGCAGUCGCGGUAAUACGGAGGGUGCGAGCGUUAAUCGGAAUUACUGGGCGUAAAGGGUGCGUAGGUGGUUGAUUAAGUUAUCUGUGAAAUUCCUGGGCUUAACCUGGGACGGUCAGAUAAUACUGGUUGACUCGAGUAUGGGAGAGGGUAGUGGAAUUUCCGGUGUAGCGGUGAAAUGCGUAGAGAUCGGAAGGAACACCAGUGGCGAAGGCGGCUACCUGGCCUAAUACUGACACUGAGGCACGAAAGCGUGCGGAGCAAACAGGAUUAGAUACCCUGGUAGUCCACGCUGUAAACGAUGUCAACUAGCUGUUGGUUAUAUGAAAAUAAUUAGUGGCGC
rnacentral:rRNA from 1 species